AUACAUGCAAGUCGAACGCGUCUUGGUCAAUGAUUUUAGGUGCUUGCACUUGACUGAUUUGACAUUGAGACGAGUGGCGAACUGGUGAGUAACACGUGGGUAACCUGCCCUUGAAGUAGAGGAUAACACUUGGAAACAGGUGCUAAUACUGCAUAACAACGAAAACCGCCUGGUUUUCGUUUGAAAGAUGGCUUCGGCUAUCGCUUUAGGAUGGACCCGCGGCGUAUUAGCUAGUUGGUGAGGUAACGGCUCACCAAGGCAAUGAUACGUAGCCGACCUGAGAGGGUAAUCGGCCACAUUGGGACUGAGACACGGCCCAAACUCCUACGGGAGGCAGCAGUAGGGAAUCUUCCACAAUGGACGAAAGUCUGAUGGAGCAACGCCGCGUGAGUGAUGAAGGGUUUCGGCUCGUAAAACUCUGUUGUUGGAGAAGAACGGGUGUCAGAGUAACUGUUGACAUCGUGACGGUAUCCAACCAGAAAGCCACGGCUAACUACGUGCCAGCAGCCGCGGUAAUACGUAGGUGGCAAGCGUUGUCCGGAUUUAUUGGGCGUAAAGCGAGCGCAGGCGGUUUUUUAGGUCUGAUGUGAAAGCCUUCGGCUUAACCGGAGAAGUGCAUCGGAAACCGGGAGACUUGAGUGCAGAAGAGGACAGUGGAACUCCAUGUGUAGCGGUGAAAUGCGUAGAUAUAUGGAAGAACACCAGUGGCGAAGGCGGCUGUCUGGUCUGCAACUGACGCUGAGGCUCG
rnacentral:rRNA from 1 species